GCCUCGUUAGCGCAGUAGCCAGCGCGUCAGUGUCGUAAUCUGAAGGUCGUGAGUUCGAUCCUCACACGGGGCA
rnacentral:tRNA from 1 species